rnacentral:rRNA from 1 species
CGUUAAUCGGGGCAGGGUGAGUCGACCCCUAAGGCGAGGCCGAAAGGCGUAGUCGAUGGGAAACGGGUUAAUAUUCCCGUACUUGGUGUUACUGCGAAGGGGGGACGGAGAAGGCUAUGUUGGCCGGGCGACGGUUGUCCCGGUUUAAGCGUGUAGGUGUGUGUUCCAGGUAAAUCCGGUUCACUUUAACACUGAGGCGUGACGACGAGGCACUACGGUGCUGAAGCAACAAAUGCCCUGCUUCCAGGAAAAGCCUCUAAGCAUCAGGUAACAUCAAAUCGUACCCCAAACCGACACAGGUGGUCAGGUAGAGAAUACCAAGGCGCUUGAGAGAACUCGGGUGAAGGAACUAGGCAAAAUGGUGCCGUAACUUCGGGAGAAGGCACGCUGACACGUAGGUGAAGUGAUUUACUCAUGGAGCUGAAGUCAGUCGAAGAUACCAGCUGGCUGCAACUGUUUAUUAAAAACACAGCACUGUGCAAACACGAAAGUGGACGUAUACGGUGUGACGCCUGCCCGGUGCCGGAAGGUUAAUUGAUG